rnacentral:rRNA from 1 species
UACGUAGGGGGCAAGCGUCGUCCGGAAUCAUUGGGCGUAAAGAGCGUGUAGGCGGCCAGAUAAGUCCGCUGUGAAAUCUCGAGGCUCAACUUCGAGCUGUCGGUGGAAACUGUCUGGCUAGAGUCCGGAAGAGGAGAAUGGAAUUCCUGGUGUAGCGGUGAAAUGCGCAGAUAUCAGGAAGAACACCCGUGGCGAAGGCGGUUCUCUGGGACGGUACUGACGCUGAGACGCGAAAGCGUGGGGAGCGAACAGG